AUUGAACGCUGGCGGCAGGCCUAACACAUGCAAGUCGAGCGGAUGAAGGGAGCUUGCUCCUGGAUUCAGCGGCGGACGGGUGAGUAAUGCCUAGGAAUCUGCCUGGUAGUGGGGGAUAACGUCCGGAAACGGGCGCUAAUACCGCAUACGUCCUGAGGGAGAAAGUGGGGGAUCCUCGGACCUCACGCUAUCAGAUGAGCCUAGGUCGGAUUAGCUAGUUGGUGGGGUAAAGGCCUACCAAGGCGACGAUCCGUAACUGGUCUGAGAGGAUGAUCAGUCACACUGGAACUGAGACACGGUCCAGACUCCUACGGGAGGCAGCAGUGGGGUAUAUUGGACAAUGGGCGAAAGCCUGAUCCAGCCAUGCCGCGUGUGUGAAGAAGGUCUUCGGAUUGUAAAGCACUUUAAGUUGGGAGGAAGGGCAGUAAGUUAAUACCUUGCUGUUUUGACGUUACCAACAGAAUAAGCACCGGCUAACUUCGUG
rnacentral:rRNA from 1 species